CUACUAAUUUUUUAUAUAAAGUUUUUACAAGCUGAAUGGUUACAAAAAAGAAAUAUAAUUAAGAAUAAUAUCGGGCUUUCUUGAAUCUAUGGCUUUCAUUACUCGGUGGAAACCAAUAUAUUAUUAUUUCGCCUUGCUUUUCCCGCGCAAUAUCCACGCGUCUAUACGAACUUACUAUCCACCUAAAAGAUAUCCACUGAUUUUUAACUUAAAUCCUAUGAACUAUAACCUAUCUUAUUACUAAAUCUUUAGCCUGAAUAUUAUAUAUAUUUUUUUUUACUGACAAUUGACGAUUGAUUUUUUUUCUUUGUUUUUCUUUUAGCUCCAAAAAAUUACUGCAAAUUUCAUGGACAUCACAUAUACAAAUUCAGAAGGACAACACAACGCUUACAAUUCUUUCCGGAGGAAGCAGAUUCUGAACGCCAGGUGGACCCUCAAAUGAUGCUGGAAUAGUUAACGGGCUCUUUUGCAAUUUCUGCGUUCUGAGUGGGAUUAACAACAGGCACAGCAAAAAGCUCACUGAUGCCGCUGGCCAGUUUACAAAUAGAUUUUCCACACCCUCAAUGUCAAUUUCUGGCUUCCUCUGUCCACAACUUGCCACCGUGUUACCAAAAGGAAAGGCAAUUUCCCGCCGUUGUGCUGACCAGAACCGGACAAUUUUCGGUGCUUUCCACAGGCUUGAUACACCACCGGAAUAUUC